rnacentral:misc_RNA from 1 species
GAUGAAGAACGUAGCGAAAUGCGAUACGUAAUGUGAAUUGCAGAAUUCAGUGAAUCAUCGAAUCUUUGAACGCACAUUGCGCCCGCUAGUAUUCUGGCGGGCAUGCCUGUCCGAGCGUCAUUUCAACCCAUCAAGCUUAGCGCUUGUGUUGGAGCCCUGCGGCCGCCGCAGCCUCCUAAAAUCAGUGGCGGGCUCGCUAUCACGCUGAGUGCAGUAGUAUUCUUCUCACUCCUGUGGUGUAGCGGGUAACCAGCCGUAAACCCCCCCAUCUAUAAAGGUUGACCUCGGAUCAGGUAGGAAUACCCGCUGAACUUAAGCAUAUCAAUAAGCGAGGA